ACUUCCGCCGCUCCGCGCCCAAGAUGGCGGCGGGCGGCGGCCCCUCUCGCGCCGGGGACAGGCCCCGCCCCUCGCCCCGCCCCCUCCCGCCGCGCGCCGCGAGCGCGGGGGGGGGGAGGGGCGGCGGCGGGAGCGUCCGGCUGUUCCGGGGACCCGCCCCCUCCCCCCGCGGCGCGCGUGCGCGGGCGCGUGCUCUCGGCCUGGAACAGCCUCAAAUACGGGUUUCCGGUUCGGCCCCGGAGCCACGUGACCCGCGGGUCCCCCCUGCACGUGCUGGGGCGCGAGUACAGCCCCGCGCGCGAGGAGGAGCUGCGCGGGUUCUCGCGGGACGUGCGCUCGCGGCUGUGGCUCUCGUACCGCCGCGGCUUCCCCGCGCUGCGCUCCUGGAGCAGCGAUGGCGGCUGGG